rnacentral:rRNA from 1 species
GAUGAACGCUGGCGGCGUGCUUAACACAUGCAAGUCGAACGGGAAACAUUUUAUUGAAGCUUCGGCAGAUUUAGUUUGUUUCCAGUGGCGGACGGGUGAGUAACGCGUGGGUAGCCUGCCUCAUACAGGGGGAUAACAGUUAGAAAUGACUGCUAAUACCGCAUAAGACCACAGUACCGCAUGGUACAGGGGUAAAAACUCCGGUGGUAUGAGAUGGACCCGCGUCUGAUUAGCCAGUUGGCAGGGUAACGGCCUACCAAAGCGACGAUCCAUAGCCGGCCUGAGAGGGUGAACGGCACAUUGGGACUGAGACACGGGCCCAGACUCCUACGGGAGGCAGCAGUGGGGAAUAUUGCACAAUGGGGGGAAA